rnacentral:rRNA from 1 species
GACGAACGCUGGCGGCGUGCUUAACACAUGCAAGUCGAACGGAAAGGCCCUGCUUGCCGGGUGCUCGAGUGGCGAACGGGUGAGUAACACGUGGGUGAUCUGCCCCUUAUUUUGGGAUAAGCCUGGGAAACUGGGUCUAAUACUGGAUAGGACCAUGCUGUAGGUGGUGUGGUGGAAAGAUUAGUUUCGGUAAGGGAUGAGCUCGCGGCCUAUCAGCUUGUUGGUGGGGUAAUGGCCUACCAAGGCGUCGACGGGUAGCCGGCCUGAGAGGGUGGACGGCCACAUUGGGACUGAGAGACGGCCCAGACUCCUACGGGAGGCAGCAGUGGGGAAUAUUGCACAAUGGGCGCAAGCCUGAUGCAGCGACGCCGCGUGGGGGAUGACGGCCUUCGGGUUGUAAACUCCUUUCAGCCAUGACGAAGCCCUUGUGGUGACGGUAGUGGUAGAAGAAGCACCGGCUAACUACGUG